UACGGGGGGGGCAAGCGUUGUUCGGAAUUACUGGGCGUAAAGGGCUCGUAGGUGGCCAACUAAGUCAUGCGUGAAAUCCCUCGGCUUAACCGGGGAACUGCGUCUGAUACUGGAUGGCUUGAGUUUGGGAGAGGGAUGCGGAAUUCCAGGUGUAGCGGUGAAAUGCGUAGAUAUCUGGAGGAACACCGGUGGCGUAGGCGGCAUCCUGGACCAACACUGACACUGAGGAGCGAAAGCCAGGGGAGCAAACGGG
rnacentral:rRNA from 1 species